CACUCCCAGUAGGGUAUGAUCUCUUUUUGGAGGUUCUACCUUUGUGAAGCUUUCUCUAGAAUCUUUUGAUACAGGGUGGUGAAGUCCAGGAAGCUUUAUAGGAUGACUUCAGGCUCAGAAGAACUGAGAAGGAGCAUUGACUAUUGGCAGAAGGACGCCUUCUAUCAAGAUGUUUUUACAAGGCUAACUCUUAUAAUUUAAGAAAAAAAGCAGGAUCUGUCUUGGUAAUAAUAGCAUUUAGUUAACCAAGCUGUUCCUGAGCAAAUUCUCUCAGUGGUAUUUGACUUGGAUCCUUUUAUGCUGGGAUUUUGGAAGAUUCACUGUAUUUUAAUUCUGAAAAAUGUGACAUCGUUUUAAGCACUAUUACCUUGUUAGAAUUUUUUGUAUAAAAAUAUUCUUUUGACUUCAGUUCCGCCCACGUACUGACAAAAUAAUUCCAACUUCAGUGGGAUUUUCAUUUAUACAAUUAAUGAAGAUUCAAAUCUAAAGGCUAAAGGUUUCUCAUUGUUUUUAAUCAAACCAAAAUUGUCCCUCUGAUAUUGGUUUGAACAAAAGGAAACAGUUUUUGGCUCUGCUGAGUGUUGAGGAUUUAGUCUGCAAAGUGCAAACAUUCAAGAAAACACGUAUCUGUCCUCAAAAAGACUGGUCUGAUGUAUGUGCAAGAAAGAGGAAGUGUAGGUUUGGCGUGGUUUGAUCUGGCACUGCGGUGCUGAUAUGUGACAUUUUCUGGAUCAUUACAGAAUUUGGGCUCCUAAAUGCUCCACUUAGAAAAGAGAUCCAGUAGUCGGCAUAGAUGGUCUGCAGCAGUCAGUACUGAUGGGGUCUGAGAGAAUAUAAGGCAUAUGUUGGCAGUUCCUUGCAUUUAAAUGUGAAACAGACAAAGGUAUUUUAAUGUGGAAAACAGACAUGGAGGAAUUUUUUUUUUUCCUCUUUCAUGCUUGAAUAAGCAUUUCCUGUCUCAUUUAUGCAUUUUAACUACUGAUAACAAUUCGAAAAAAAACAAACCUAUGUAAGCGUCUUCAAUCUUUGAGAGGAAUAUGGUGCAUAUGUCUCAUUUCAGCAAUUUAAAUAUAAAAAUGGCUACAAACAAGAUGGUAUGUUUAUUCCAAAUGACUAUGGUUUUGCUUCUGGGUUCAUGAUAAGACAUUAUGGUAAGUCUAACCAUUGGGAAACAGAACCAAAGAGCUCUUUUAGACAAUCAACGUUUGAAGAAAAGUUUGAAGAUUUUCCAGCAGUAUUCUGACCAGUUCUUAAUUUCUAUGUAAAUAAACUUUGUUUAUUUGGAAUUACUCUU